AACUUGAUGAUGUGGGCAUUUACAGAGCAGGUCCUUGAACCACUCCAAGGUCUCAAAGAAAAGUUCCCCAUCCAUCUCUGUGAAACUUGUGAUUGCCCUUCGCAGCU